rnacentral:lncRNA from 1 species
CAGAGCCAAGAAUAGUUGGGGGGAGUCACAUGGUGUUGAGGGCUUUUAAAUCAGUGAGUGGAGCUUGAAGCCUGGGAUCAGUCCAUGUGGUGGAUGCCAAUGGCAACAAUAUGAGUGGGAUUGGGACCCACAACUACAGUAGUGUGACGGUGAUGUCGUUUGAUAUGAACAGGACCGCGGCUCUCACCACGGUCGACCAGGAUAUGAACGCAGCAGUACAUGAGUUCAAGGUGUUCAACAUCAUCCUAAUGUCUCUAGCCUUGUGUGUUCUCACCAUCACUGGCCUGUUCUGCAGCAUAUCCUGUCACAACCGCAGACGGCUGUCGAAGAGGGCCCAUAUGUAUGAGAGUGCUGUGCUUCGUGACGUACCAGUCAACCCGGUGGACAUCAGAGCUGUCAAGAGAUCCACCAGUUUCAGAAACCCUCUCUCAUUCUUCAGAAAACAGGAAGCAUCUAAGGACAACUCCAGAAUCUACUACAUCUACAGUAACCCUCUACCCAUAGGGCUGGAGGAAGAGGACACUAUCCAGAAUAUCGCCCCUGGUGGAUUGAAGGAGCAAGAAGAGCUCACUUUUCAGGACUACGCCAAUGAUCCCAAUAGUGGUAUCAUCCUGGACCCGCCCAACUUUUACAUGCAGCUCUAG